rnacentral:pre_miRNA from 1 species
AAUAGAUGACGCCGUUAACUUUUUCUCACAUGUUUGACCAUUCGUCUUAUUCAAAAAUUUUAUGCAAAUGUAUAUGAUAUAAAUCACACAUAAAGUACUAUGAGUGAUAAAACAACUCAUAACAAAAUAAAUUAUAAUUACGUAAAUUUUUUAAAUAAGACGAAUGGUCAAACAUGUAAGAAAAAGUCAACGGUGUCAUCUAUU